AUUGAACGCUGGCGGCAGGCCUAAAACAUGCAAGUCGAGCGGAGCGGCGGACGGGUGAUUAAUGCCUAGGAAUAUGCCUGGGAGUGGCGGAUAACGUCCGGAAACGGGCGCUAAUACCGCAUACUAUCAGAUGAGCCUAGGUCGGAGUAGCUAGUUGUGGGGGUAAAGGCCUACCAAGGUGACGAUCCGUAACUGGUCUGAGAGGAUGAUCAGUCACACGGGAACUGAGACACGGUCCAGCCUCCUACGGGAGGCAGCAGUGGGGAAUAUUGGACAAUGGGCGAAAGCCUGAUCCAGCCAUGCCGCGUGUGUGAAGAAGGUCUUCGGAUUGUAAAGCACUUUAAGUUGGGAGGCGUUACCAACAGAGUAAGCACCGGCUAACUUCGUGCCAGCAGCCGCGGUAAUUC
rnacentral:rRNA from 1 species